rnacentral:lncRNA from 1 species
ACACUAGGAGUUUCUCUCUUGAGAUUAUAUUGAUGAUCCAAGUAGCUCCCAUCCUUUGGAACAAAGCAAUCACAAGCAAAUAUUUCAAGCAAUCAAACACAAGGUCAUGCUUCUAAGAAUCCUCCAAUGGCCUUUGUAUCUCUCACUUUGGAUGAACAUGGCAAUGGUCCUCCAAUUAAGCUCAAAUGGAAACUCCUAGCACAAAAGCACACACAUCAAAAGUUCCGUGAAGUAAAACAAG